rnacentral:rRNA from 1 species
AAAUGAAUAGACGGGGACCCGCACAAGCGGUGGAUGAUGUGGAUUAAUUCGAUGCAACGCGAAAAACCUUACCUACCCUUGACAUGUCCGGAAUCCUGCAGAGAUGCGGGAGUGCCCGAAAGGGAAUCGGAACACAGGUGCUGCAUGGCUGUCGUCAGCUCGUGUCGUGAGAUGUUGGGUUAAGUCCCGCAACGAGCGCAACCCUUAUCAUUAGUUGCUACGCAAGGGCACUCUAAUGAGACUGCCGGUGACAAACCGGAGGAAGGUGGGGAUGACGUCAAGUCCUCAUGGCCCUUAUGGGUAGGGCUUCACACGUCAUACAAUGGUCGGUACAGAGGGUUGCCAAGCCGCGAGGCGGAGCCAAUCCCAGAAAGCCGAUCGUAGUCCGGAUUGUUCUCUGCAACUCGAGAGCAUGAAGUCGGAAUCGCUAGUAAUCGCGGAUCAGCAUGUCGCGGUGAAUACGUUCCCGGGUCUUGCACACACCGCCCGU